ACUUUGCUGAAGAGUACUAAAUAGCACGAAACCCGGGUUCAGGGU
rnacentral:hammerhead_ribozyme from 1 species